GCCGCUCUCCUCCCUCCUGAUUCACACGCAGCAGAUGAUGUGCCAUGGAAAUCCAAGGGUCCGUCCUCACAGAAGUCACGGCAUGCCAUAACUAUUUGUUCCUCCUUUCCCAGCAGAUCAUCACCCCACAGGAUCCUGCCUCCCAGCUCCCCGUGCCUGCUGAAAAGGAUUCCAGCGUCCUGCGAUGAAACUCUCUGGGCACGGAAGCUUUGUAUCUUUUAGAAUCAAUCCAAUGAGUGUGGAAAGAGGAUAACAUGAAGGGAAAUUCUGAAUGUCCCAAAGAGCGCCAAAGUAUCUAUUUCUCAUUAAAAGUCAAUGACAGUUUGGUACUUAAAUGCCCUUUGUAUCUUGGAGAAUCUCCUUUGUAAAUACUUCUCCCUGUGCUGGUACACUGAGAACUACUAAAAUCAAUAAAUAUAACUUGAAGCUUUCAGGUACUGAACAGGAAGAAACCAGUUCCUUCUCCAACUCCUACCACUCCUCUACAAGAGAAAGUUCACCUCCCAGUCUUGGGACUCUCAGUGCUUUGCUGCUCUCACCCUUUUGCACUGUAUGAUUGCCUCCCUUCCCUGGAUGGGCUGUCAAAGCCAGAAGUGCUUCUUUUUCUGAGAUAAAGAACAAUAUACUUGGGAGUGAUGAAGGAGGAAAAGAAGAAAAAGCACCUUGCAAUUAAAUAUUUUAAUAGACAUUUUGAAGAUGUUUUUGAAAAGAUUUAAAAUUAAUGUUAACAAUAGCAUGCAUCAGAGGGCUUAGGCUGAACAAUACCUAUCACUUUUUCUGCUUAAGAAUCUUAAAAAUAAUACCCUAUAAUAUUUUGCACCAGCAUUUUUUUUUUAAACUCUUCUAGACUAGGCAGACAUUUCUGACUAGCUGUGCACAGAAGCUUAAAUCCUCCCUCUCCAUAUUCAUACCAAGCAAUCAGUUUAUGACAGCUUUGGUGAACCUUUUAGAUGAUGUGCACUGCAGUAACUUUACUCUUGGGAGCAUACUAUGUACUACCAGCCUUCAGAUAAGGGACACUGGUCUUUUGCUUCCUCCCAGUGUGGCACUCCCAGAUAAUUACUGAUUUAAUGAGGUAGAAAUUCAGACAGGGAACCAAAUACUGCAAAAGGAUCGGAGGCAAUCCUGCACUAUAUGUCAUUCUCAGCACUAUACAUGCUGCUUCUGGCAUGUGACCAGUGGAAAUCUGGGAUUUAUGUCGUUGAUUUUCACUGGUUUCCAGAGAAAAAGUUUCACCAAGGAGCCUGAGGCCCUACUUUAUAACUGCAAACCCAAUGUUCUGAUUCACAGAAUCACCAAGGUUGGAAAAGACCUCCCAAGAUCAUCCAGUCCAACCGUCCACCUAUCACCAAUAUCUCCCACUAAACCAUGUCCCUCAGUACAACAUCUAAAUGUUUCUUGAACUCCUCCAGGGAUGGUGACUCCAUUACCUCCCUGGGCUGCCCAUUCCACCACCUGACCACUGUCUUGGAGAAGCAUUUCUUGAUGUCCUACCUGAAUCUCCCCUGGCACAACUUGAGGCCAUUCCCUCUCAUCCUAUCACUAGUUACAUGGGAGAAGAGGCCGACCCCCA